rnacentral:rRNA from 1 species
ACUGAUUGAAGUUUUCGGAGUGAAGUUCGGUAGUUCCGAGUGGCGACGGGUGAGUAACGCGUGGGUAAACCCUGCCCUGUACAGGGGGAUAACAGUUGGAAAACGACUGUUAAUACCGCAUAAGACCACAGUGCCGCAUGGCACAGGGGUAAAAACUCCGGUGGUACAGGAUGGACCCGCGUCCAAUUAGCUAGUUGGUGAGGUAAGGCCCCGACCAAGGCGACGAUUGGUAGCCGAUCUGAGAGGAUGACCGGCCACAUUGGACUGAGACACGGCCCAAACUCCUACGGGAGGCAGCAGUGGGGAAUAUUGCACAAUGGGGGAAACCCUGAUGCAGCGACGCCGCGUGAGUGAUGAAGUAUUUUCGGUAUGUAAAGCUCUAUCAGCAGGGAAGAAAAUGACGGUACCUGAGUAAGAAGCCCCGGCUAACUACGUGCC